rnacentral:rRNA from 1 species
AUACAUGCAAGUCGAACGCUUCUUUUCCCACCGGAGCUUGCUCCACCGGGAAAAGAGGAGUGGCGAACGGGUGAGUAACACGUGGGUAACCUGCCCAUCAGAAGGGGAUAACACUUGGAAACAGGUGCUAAUACCGUAUAACAAUCGAAACCGCAUGGUUUCGUUUUGAAAGGCGCUUUACGGUGCCGCUGAUGGAUGGACCCGCGGUGCAUUAGCUAGUUGGUGAGGUAACGGCUCACCAAGGCCACGAUGCAUAGCCGACCUGAGAGGGUGAUCGGCCACAUUGGGACUGAGACACGGCCCAAACUCCUACGGGAGGCAGCAGUAGGGAAUCUUCGGCAAUGGACGAAAGUCUGACCGAGCAACGCCGCGUGAGUGAAGAAGGUUUUCGGAUCGUAAAACUCUGUUGUUAGAGAAGAACAAGGGUGAGAGUAACUGUUCACCCCUUGACGGUAUCUAACCAGAAAGCCACGGCUAACUACGUGCCAGCAGCCGCGGUAAUACGUAGGUGGCAAGCGUUGUCCGGAUUUAUUGGGCGUAAAGCGAGCGCAGGCGGUUUCUUAAGUCUGAUGUGAAAGCCCCCGGCUCAACCGGGGAGGGUCAUUGGAAACUGGGAGACUUGAGUGCAGAAGAGGAGAGUGGAAUUCCAUGUGUAGCGGUGAAAUGCGUAGAUAUAUGGAGGAACACCAGUGGCGAAGGCGGCUCUCUGGUCUGUAACUGACGCUGAGGCUCGAAAGCGUGGGGAGCAAACAGGAUUAGAUACCCUGGUAGUCCACGCCGUAAACGAUGAGUGCUAAGUGUUGGAGGGUUUCCGCCCUUCAGUGCUGCAGCUAACGCAUUAAGCACUCCGCCUGGGGAGUACGACCGCAAGGUUGAAACUCAAAGGAAUUGACGGGGGCCCGCACAAGCGGUGGAGCAUGUGGUUUAAUUCGAAGCAACGCGAAGAACCUUACCAGGUCUUGACAUCCUUUGACCACUCUAGAGAUAGAGCUUCCCCUUCGGGGGCAAAGUGACAGGUGGUGCAUGGUUGUCGUCAGCUCGUGUCGUGAGAUGUUGGGUUAAGUCCCGCAACGAGCGCAACCCUUAUUGUUAGUUGCCAUCAUUUAGUUGGGCACUCUAGCAAGACUGCCGGUGACAAACCGGAGGAAGGUGGGGAUGACGUCAAAUCAUCAUGCCCCUUAUGACCUGGGCUACACACGUGCUACAAUGGGAAGUACAACGAGUCGCGAAGUCGCGAGGCUAAGCUAAUCUCUUAAAGCUUCUCUCAGUUCGGAUUGUAGGCUGCAACUCGCCUACAUGAAGCCGGAAUCGCUAGUAAUCGCGGAUCAGCACGCCGCGGUGAAUACGUUCCCGGGCCUUGUACACACCGCCCGUCACACCACGAGAGUUUGUAACACCCGAAGUCGGUGAGGUAACCUUUUUGGAGCCAGCCGCCUAAGGU